rnacentral:rRNA from 1 species
GACGAACGCUGGCGGCGCGCUUAACACAUGCAAGUCGAACGGAAAGGCCUGCUUUCCCUUGUGGAUUGCGGGUACUCGAGUGGCGAACGGGUGAGUAACACGUGAGUGAUCUGCCCCCAACUUGGGGAUAAGCCUGGGAAACUGGGUCUAAUUCCCGAUAGGACUGCAGGGUGGUGCCUGUGGUGGAAAACGAUUUUCUAGUGGUUGGGGAUGAGCUCGCGGCCUAUCAGCUUGUUGGUGGGGUAAUGGCCUACCAAGGCGGCGACGGGUAGCCGGCCUGGGAGGGUGGACGGCCACAUUGGGACUGAGAUACGGCCCAGACUCCUACGGGAGGCAGCAGUGGGGAAUAUUGCACAAUGGGCGGAAGCCUGAUGCAGCGACGCCGCGUGGGGGAUGACGGCCUUCGGGUUGUAAACUCCUUUCGACCGCGAGGAAGCCACCUGGUUGGAAGGGUGGUGACGGUAGUGGUAGAAGAAGCACCGGCUAACUACGUG